UUGGUUGCCUAUAAAUAAGACCCUCAUGCCAUACUAAUAACCUGCAUUAAAUUCCAAAGCAAUUCUAAGAGAGUAUAGUAAGAUCACAUAUAUUUGAAAGGUAGAAAUCAAGUCUCGAUUAUUUAAGAUAAUCGUAAAGUUUGCAACUUCAAAAGGUAAUUUACGACUUGUCAUAUUCUUGUUAGUUAAUCAUUAUUAUAUUCGAAAUCAUGUAAUAUUGUAUGCUAAACAUAAAUUGUAUGUUAAUAAGUAGCAAGUCAUAUGUUCAUGAUAAGCUAGCUUAAGUAAAUGUCCUAAUCGACCUAAUAAAGGAAGUAAAACAUGAUUAUGCAUGUUAGUACGUUUAUGUUGUAAAACUUGAUAAAACUAUCUACCUAAAUUGCUUCAUUAGAACAAACUAAUUAAAUAAGAUAAAGUAUGAUAUUUACGUUAACAUUAAAAUGUAAUAAAGUAUUGAAAUAAAAUUCAUACUCAAGAUUUAUUAAGUAAUAAGAGUAAAGUCAUGUUUAUGACUAAUUGUAAGUUGACCUAAUAUAUUGCGUAAGCCAUACGAAAGACAAGAAAUUAACGUAAAUUUAGAAGACGCUAUCAGGCAAAUUUUUUAACUCAUUCGAUUUAUGUACUUCCGCAAAGUGCAACGAUGUGUUUUAAAUUGUUGAAUUUCAUUUAAUUCUUUCUUUGAAUUAUGAAGUUCAUUAUAUAUUGUUAAAUAAUUUAUUGAGAAGAGUUAUUUGUCAUUUGAUUCAGCUUAACUCGAGUAUUGAGCUAUUCCUUUCGAAAUAAUUAUUGAUGAGAAAUUGAAUUAUUAUAAUUCUUUAUUUGAGUUGAAUUUAUUGUGCCAAACGGCCAAACCAAAUUGUUUUGGGGCAAAAUCAGUAGGUUAGUAAUUGAAAUGAAUAACCCUUAUUCAUGGGGGAAUUUAUGAUGUGUCGGGUAAUCGACUCCUAUAUUGUUGAACACAAAAGUUGUCAGUAUAGGUGUUAUGCAUAACAUAAGAUUUUAUUAGGUUGAUCCCCUUAUAAUAUCUACAAAGAGUUUUAAGUCUUGACGAAUGGAGAGUUCUAAGUCUUGUGACUGACAAACAGUUCUUGAUUUAACAACCCACAAUUUACUUUUAUGAACAAUUAUUGAUAUCUUUUGUUAAGCUAUUCAUCCCUUUGAAUCAAAGAAGUGUGAGUCCUCUUAUGUGUUAUGUGUUAGACUUGUUGAGUUAUCUUAUGCUCAUUCUUGCAAAUAUGUUUCAUUUGCAAUUAAGGAAGUAUUACCAAAAGAGUCUGACAGUAGAACGGUAAAGUUAAAGAAGAAUAGAUAAUUGGUCUUUUUUAUUUGUAAUAAAACUUAAAGUUGUAAUAACUUUAGAGAUUUGAUUAAAAGAGUUGGGAAUUAUUAUAAAAAUGUAUGGUGUACUUUACAAUUAAGCUAAUAAAUGUAGAAGUCAUUUAACUAUGUUAGAUUAAAAGUAUUGACAAUGUCUAGAAAAUUUUGUCAAGGAAAGGGGUCGUCUAAUUGAGCACCGUUUUAACGGAAAACUCCCUCUUUCUUGAGAACUGACUGGUUGCUAAUAAUAAAAGUAUAAGAUAGAUAAAUGGUGAUGAAAUUGAGAAGGGUUUAGUGUUAAAUUGAAGUUAUGGAAUACUCAACAAGAAGUAGGGUUGGAAGAGUUGCAUAUUUAAUAUAUUAAAAUAAGUUGUAAUUUUUAUGACUUUGAGAUGCAACUGAAAAUUGCAAAGUUUACAAUUCUGGAAUAAAGAGUGAUGUUAAGCUUUUAAUUAAAUGAGUUUUUACCAAGUAUAAUAUUAGUGAAUAUUAAAGAAAGAUGUUGCGAUCAAGGGAUAGAGGUAAAAAAUUGAUGUAAUGUCUGAAAUAGACUAAAUAAACAAAUAAAAUUGUUGGUAGAUUUACGUCAACACCAGAUCAGGGGUUGAAGGAGACCAAGAUUUGGGGGUGAGUCGGGGUGUAAACGGAUAUAUACGGAUUCGGAUACAGUAGUAACUGUAUACAUUUAUUUGCGGAUACCUUUAAACCGAAUACAGAUAAUAUCCACUUUUUCCCGAAUACAAAUGCGGACGAAUACGAAUUUUUCGGUUACCAUUUACAACCCUAACUAUAACUAGAAUAAAAAAAGGUAAAAUGCAAGGUUGACCACUGAACUUUAGGGAUUUUUGGGUAUUGAGCCCUUUUCUUUUGGUCAACGCAUUUUGAGCCCUUUUCUAAUAAAAAAUUUGGACUUCGAGCCACUGUUGCUAGAUAUGCGUUGACUUGCUCACGUGGCGCCUACGUGGCAUAUCUGGCGUGGAUAUUUUUAUUUUAAUUUUACAUGUGGCAUAUAUGACGUGGCGAAUAUUGGACUUGAACCCAAAAAAUUUGUUGCUGCUCAAAUUCGAUCUCCAGGCCUCCAACUCGAAAUUUCGAACCAAUGACCACCCGAGCACAACGGGUUAGCUGUUUUAUUUUCGUAAGGAUUAUGAUUUAUAACUGAACAAAGAAUUUUUCCCAAAAUAAAACAAAACCCCUUUUCUUAGAUAUGCUAAGUCUCAGUCUUUAUCUCAUUUCGUUCUUUCGAUCUUCAUCUAUCGCUUUCUCUGAACUGUAAAAUUUCAGUAAGUGUCAUGGUUUUAUCUUGAACAUAAUGAAAUCAGAGAGAAACUGUAAAAUUUCGAAAAUAUAAAUUUUUAGUCAAAUACCAUUAAUUGCAAAGGGAUUGUUAUCCUCCCUUCCUUUGACCAUAUGAAGUCCGCUCUUCCCCUCAUUCACUACAAGGCCCUCAACCGCGUCAAAUUGAAAAGUAAUUCUUAAGAUUUGCUCCAACUUUACAAAGCUUGAGCCGAGUUUAAAGAUCCAUUGUUUCCGCCGGAGUUUAAGAUACACGAUUCUCAAUACAGCAGCGAAGAAGUUGGUUACGUAAUUUCGUCCAUAAGUUUUUUUUUCCCUUUUAUCAUUUCUUAUGAUUCCAUGUAGAAAGAAUUAUAAUAUUCUGCCUCAGGUUUUCUUUUUUUGAUGAAAGAAUUAACUUCUCAUGACGUUUACUUCAUUAUAAUCCAGAGAUUUAUGAUGUUUAUUAUGUAAUUUAUUUGUAUAUAUACUGAUAUUCCUUCAAAUUAGGAAUGUUCAUAAAUUAUACAAUAAAGAUGUAAACACAGGAAGAAAUCUUGAAAAAAUAACAGGGAUGUAUAGGAAAAAGUUGUAUCUAUAUGAUUUUCCUAUAUGAUUUUAUAGAAAAAUAUUGCAUUUUUUCGGAAUUUCUUCAUGUGCUUUUAGUUUUUUGCUUAAUUAUAUGUUCUGUUUCCUCUGGCUUUAGCUAUUUAUGUGUUGAUGGAAAAUUUCAAGCUUUGACUGUCACUCAAGACAUUGGCAUAUCUACGAUCGAAAGAACGAAAUGAGAUAGAGACUGAGACUUAGCAUAUCUAAAAAAAGUGUUUUAAUUUGGAGGAAAUUCUUUGUUCAGUUAUAAAUCAUAAUCCUUGCGAAAAUAAAGCAGCUAACCCGUGGUGCUCGGGUGGUCAUUGGGUCAAAAUUUCGAGUUGGAGGUCUGGAGAUCGAAUCUGAGCAGCAACAAAUUUUUUGGGUUCAAGACCAAUAUUCGUCACGUCAUAUAUGCCACAUGUAAAAUUCAAAUAAAAAUACCCACAUCAGAUAUGCCACGUAGGCGCCACGUUAGCAAGUCAACGCAUAUCUGGCAACAGGGGUUCGAAGUCCAAAUUUUUUAAUAGAAAAGGGCUCAAAAUGCGUUGACCAAAAGAAAAUGGCUUAAUACCCAAAACCCCCUAAAGUUCAGUGGUCAACCUUGCAUUUUACCCGAAUAAAAAAUAAUAAGUUU
rnacentral:lncRNA from 1 species